GACGAACGCUGUUGGCGUGCUUAACACAUGCAAGUCGAACGGAAAGGCCCUGCUUUUGUGGGGUGCUCGAGUGGCGAACGGGUGAGUAACACGUGAGUAACCUGCCCUUGACUUUGGGAUAACUUCAGGAAACUGGGGCUAAUACCGGAUAGGAGCUCCUGCUGCAUGGUGGGGGUUGGAAAGUUUCGGCGGUUGGGGAUGGACUCGCGGCUUAUCAGCUUGUUGGUGGGGUAGUGGCUUACCAAGGCUUUGACGGGUAGCCGGCCUGAGAGGGUGACCGGCCACAUUGGGACUGAGAUACGGCCCAGACUCCUACGGGAGGCAGCAGUGGGGAAUAUUGCACAAUGGGCGGAAGCCUGAUGCAGCAACGCCGCGUGCGGGAUGACGGCCUUCGGGUUGUAAACCGCUUUCGCCUGUGACGAAGCGUGAGUGACGGUAAUGGGUAAAGAAGCACCGGCUAACUACGUGCCAGCAGCCGCGGUGAUACGUAGGGUGCGAGCGUUGUCCGGAUUUAUUGGGCGUAAAGGGCUCGUAGGUGGUUGAUCGCGUCGGAAGUGUAAUCUUGGGGCUUAACCCCUGAGCGUGCUUUCGAUACGGGUUGACUUGAGGAAGGUAGGGGAGAAUGGAAUUCCUGGUGGAGCGGUGGAAUGCGCAGAUAUCAGGAGGAACACCAGUGGCGAAGGCGGUUCUCUGGGCCUUUCCUGACGCUGAGGAGCGAAAGCGUGGGGAGCGAACAGGCUUAGAUACCCUGGUAGUCCACGCUGUAAACGGUGGGUACUAGGUGUGGGGUCCAUUCCACGGGUUCCGUGCCGUAGCUAACGCUUUAAGUACCCCGCCUGGGGAGUACGGCCGCAAGGCUAAAACUCAAAGGAAUUGACGGGGUCCCGCACAAGCGGCGGAGCAUGCGGAUUAAUUCGAUGCAACGCGUAGAACCUUACCUGGGUUUGACAUGGAUCGGGAGUGCUCAGAGAUGGGUGUGCCUCUUUUGGGGUCGGUUCACAGGUGGUGCAUGGCUGUCGUCAGCUCGUGUCGUGAGAUGUUGGGUUAAGUCCCGCAACGAGCGCAACCCUUGUUCACUGUUGCCAGCACGUUAUGGUGGGGACUCAGUGGAGACCGCCGGGGUCAACUCGGAGGAAGGUGGGGAUGACGUCAAGUCAUCAUGCCCCUUAUGUCCAGGGCUUCACGCAUGCUACAAUGGCUGGUACAGAGAGUGGCGAGCCUGUGAGGGUGAGCGAAUCUCGGAAAGCCGGUCUCAGUUCGGAUUGGGGUCUGCAACUCGACCUCAUGAAGUCGGAGUCGCUAGUAAUCGCAGAUCAGCAACGCUGCGGUGAAUACGUUCCCGGG
rnacentral:rRNA from 1 species